rnacentral:rRNA from 1 species
UUGCACGCUGGCGGCAGGCCUAACACCUGCAAGUCGAGCGGAUGAAGGGAGCUUGCUCCUGGAUUCAGCGGCGGACGGGUGAGUAAUGCCUAGGAAUCUGCCUGGUAGUGGGGGAUAACGUCCGGAAACGGGCGCUAAUACCGCAUACGUCCUGAGGGAGAAAGUGGGGGAUCUUCGGACCUCACGCUAUCAGAUGAGCCUAGGUCGGAUUAGCUAGUUGGUGGGGUAAAGGCCUCCCAAGGCGACGAUCCGUAACUGGUCCGAGAGGAUAAUCAGUCACAUGGAACUGAGACACGGUCCAGACUCCUACGGGAGGCAGCAGUGGGGAAUAUUGGACAAUGGGCGAAAGCCUGAUCCAGCCAUGCCGCGUGUGUGAAGAAGGUCUUCGGAUUGUAAAGCACUUUAAGUUGGGAGGAAGGGCAGUAAGUUAAUACCUUGCUGUUUUGACGUUACCAACAGAAUAAGCACCGGCUAACUUCGUG